GGGCCGGUAGCUCAGGUGGUUAGAGCACACGCCUGAUAAGCGUGAGGGCGGUGGUUCAAGUCCACCCCGGCCCA
rnacentral:tRNA from 1 species